rnacentral:tRNA from 1 species
UGCAGGGUAGUUUAAAAAAAAUAUUUAUCUUACACGUAAUGGAUCCCUUUUAUUUAGGGCUUUGCUA